GCAAAGGAAACAUUCAAAACUCCAGAACGUGGCAUGGGUCUUCCCUAGGGUGUGUGCCUGUCAACAAGUCACCAGUUUUGGAAGAGCUAAGGGGAAUGUGUGAGUUGCAGGAAGCCCACGGAGGACUUUCCUGGAGAAGGCUGUUUACCAGGAGGCACGUGCUUGCUUCCUGGUCCUAAUUAAUGUCAGGCUUGGUUACUGUGUUCACCUUCUUAGCGAUCUCUUCUUAGCUCCGUGCAAUCCCGUGCUUCUACACACCGGAACCAUUGCUAGCUGUGCCGAGGAGGAAGAGAUCUGUUGCACAGAGGAUGGAGUGAUUUAUGCAGACAGUUUAAAGGGUGUUUCGCAGCUCUGUGGAAUGCAAGAGGCAGCAUGAUUUGAAGACCUUUCUCUUCAAACUGGAAAGCCUUAGGGCAGAUUCUCACCGCAUCCUGAUUAAGCAGUGACUCCACCUCCCUCGCAAAUGGCCCCUGGAGAAUGAAGCAGAAAGCAGGAAUGCCCUCCUCAAAAGUGAUUACGUGGAACCUUGGAUUCCAAGGGUAGAGAGCAAAGCAUGCGGCUUUGUGUUGAGCAGUGUAAUACGCCAGGGCUCGGAAGGCAGCGUGAGACAGGUAACAGAGCAGCAGCGGGCUCUAUUUAGGGAAGAGAGAUGAGUAGAAUUCCAUGUCCUGUU